UAGUUGCGAAAUAAAUGCCUUCUGAAAGAUUUCUUUCUUUGCAAUGGUCGUGCUGAAUGUUCAGAUGGAAGUGAUGAAGCUAAGUGUGAUGAUGUGAAAAAGGAAUCUGCUGAUAUCGAUGAUAUUAUUGAAGAUGCUGUAAUUGAAGAACUGGACUGAAGAGGGACAGAGUUUUUAAAGA